GCCUAAACAUGCAAGUCGAGCGGAUGAGAGGAGCUUGCUCCUCGAUUCAGCGGCGGACGGGUGAGUAAUGCCUAGGAAUCUGCCUAGUAGUGGGGGACAACGUUUCGAAAGGAACGCUAAUACCGCAUACGUCCUACGGGAGAAAGUGGGGGAUCUUCGGACCUCACGCUAUUAGAUGAGCCUAGGUCGGAUUAGCUAGUUGGUAGGGUAAAGGCCUACCAAGGCGACGAUCCGUAACUGGUCUGAGAGGAUGAUCAGUCACACUGGAACUGAGACACGGUCCAGACUCCUACGGGAGGCAGCAGUGGGGAAUAUUGGACAAUGGGCGAAAGCCUGAUCCAGCCAUGCCGCGUGUGUGAAGAAGGCCUUCGGGUCGUAAAGCACUUUAAGUUGGGAGGAAGGGCUCAUAGCGAAUACCUGUGAGUUUUGACGUUACCAACAGAAUAAGCACCGGCUAACUUCGUGCCAGCAGCCGCGGUAAUACGAAGGGUGCAAGCGUUAAUCGGAAUUACUGGGCGUAAAGCGCGCGUAGGUGGCUUGAUAAGUUGGAUGUGAAAUCCCCGGGCUCAACCUGGGAACUGCAUCCAAAACUGUCUGGCUAGAGUGCGGUAGAGGGUAGUGGAAUUUCCAGUGUAGCGGUGAAAUGCGUAGAUAUUGGAAGGAACACCAGUGGCGAAGGCG
rnacentral:rRNA from 1 species